UUAAUUGAAGAGUUUGAUCAUGGCUCAGAUUGAACGCUGGCGGCAGGCCUAACACAUGCAAGUCGAACGGUAGCAGGAUGUGCUUGCACAUCGCUGACGAGUGGCGGACGGGUGAGUAAUGCUUGGGAACUUGCCUUUGCGAGGGGGAUAACAGUUGGAAACGACUGCUAAUACCGCAUAAUGUUUUCGAACCAAACGGGGCUUUUAGCUCCGGCGCAAAGAGAGGCCCAAGUGAGAUUAGCUAGUUGGUGAGGUAAAGGCUCACCAAGGCGACGAUCUCUAGCUGUUCUGAGAGGAAGAUCAGCCACACUGGGACUGAGACACGGCCCAGACUCCUACGGGAGGCAGCAGUGGGGAAUAUUGCACAAUGGGGGAAACCCUGAUGCAGCCAUGCCGCGUGUGUGAAGAAGGCCUUCGGGUUGUAAAGCACUUUCAGUUGUGAGGAAAGGUUGGUAGUUAAUACCUGCCAGCUGUGACGUUAACAACAGAAGAAGCACCGGCUAACUCCGUGCCAGCAGCCGCGGUAAUACGGAGGGUGCGAGCGUUAAUCGGAAUUACUGGGCGUAAAGCGCACGCAGGCGGUUUGUUAAGCUAGAUGUGAAAGCCCCGGGCUCAACCUGGGAUGGUCAUUUAGAACUGGCAGACUAGAGUCUUGGAGAGGGGAGUGGAAUUCCAGGUGUAGCGGUGAAAUGCGUAGAUAUCUGGAGGAACAUCAGUGGCGAAGGCGACUCCCUGGCCAAAGACUGACGCUCAUGUGCGAAAGUGUGGGUAGCGAACAGGAUUAGAUACCCUGGUAGUCCACACCGUAAACGCUGUCUACUAGCUGUGCGUGAAUUUAAUU
rnacentral:rRNA from 1 species